GGGGACCUUCGGGCCUACCGGCCAGGGAGUGGCCCAUGUCCUAUCAGCUUGUUGGUGAGGUAACGGCUCACCAAGGCGACGACGGGUACCGGGGCUGAGAGGCUGAUCCGGCGCAUUGGGACUGAGACACCGCCCAGACUCCUACGGGAGGCUGCAGCGACGAAUAUUGCACAAUGGGCGCAAGCCUGAUGCAGCGACGCCGCGUGUGGGAGGAAGCCCCUCGGGGUGUAAACCACUGUCAGGGACCACCAAGCGACCCGGGCGAAUAGUCCGGGAAGUUGAGGAAUCCCAGAGGAAGUCACGGCUAACUUCGUGCCAGCAGCCGCGGUAAGACGAAGGUGGCAAGCGUUGUUCGGAAUCACUGGGCUUAAAGAGCACGUAGGCGGAUUGUCAAGCACUUUGUGAAAUCCCUCGGCUUAACCGAGGAAUUGCUUGGUGAACUGGCAGUCUUGAGGCAGGUAGAGGCACACGGAACUCUUGGUGGAGCGGUGGAAUGCGUAGAUAUCAAGAGGAACGCCAGAGGCGAAAGCGGUGUGCUGGGCCUGACCUGACGCUGAGGUGCGAAAGCCAGGGGAGCAAACGGGAUUAGAUACCCCGGUAGUCCUGGCCAUAAACGAUGUCCACUAGGCCUGAGGUGUUCUGACACACUUCCGGCCGAAACAAAAGCGUUAAGUGGACCGCCUGGGGAGUACGGUCGCAAGGCUAAAACUCAAAGGAAUUGACGGGGGCUCACACAAGCGGUGGAGCAUGUUGCUUAAUUCGAUGCAACGCGAAGAACCUUAUCCUGGGCUUGACAUGUAGGAAUACCUCCCUGGAAACAGGGUUGGUUGCCCUUCGGGGUGAAGCCUACACAGGUGCUGCAUGGCUGUCGUCAGCUCGUGUCGUGAGAUGUUGGGUUAAGUCCCGUAACGAGCGAAACCCUUGUCGUUAGUUGCCAGCGCGUUAUGGCGGGGACUCUAACGAGACUGCCGGUCUUAAACCGGAGGAAGGUGGGGAUGACGUCAAGUCCUCAUGGCCUUUAUGCCCAGGGCUGCAAACGUG
rnacentral:rRNA from 1 species